UGGGAAAAUAGUCGGAAACCCACAAGAGGACAAGCAACUCUCUACUAGCUCUGAAUCCAGCACUGAGACGUCAAUGCCACUGUGUAUGUUUUUGAGUGAGUCCCAUUCCAAGGAUUCUGAUUUAUCAAGAGAGUCAGUAGCUGCCAACCUUCUAAAUGCAAGGUUGUCUCCGGGUCGGAAGACAUACAAAUAUUUCAAUAGCUGCCACUGUGUUGCUCUUAGUGUUCGUUUGUCAGGGGAGUUCUGCCCUUAGUGAAGCAGGGUGAAUAUUCAAACACUGCAAUGUGCCACAGCUAAGAACAACGCUGCAGACUGAUGUUUUCCAGCUCUGAGACCCUAAAAUAACAGGAAAGAUCUUGGAACAACUGCGUUUUGAUUAAGAGCUGUCCCGUGGACGCACAGAUUGGCCAGCUG
rnacentral:lncRNA from 1 species